rnacentral:rRNA from 1 species
AUGGAUGAGGUCACAAGGGGUAUACAAGGAGAUAUCCCAUGGUGUAUGCUCUUUGCGGAUGAUGUGGUGCUAGUUGACGAUAGUCGGACGGGGGUAAAUAGGAAGUUAGAGUUAUGGAGACAAACCUUGGAAUCGAAAGGGUUUAGGCUUAGUAGAACUAAAACCGAGUACAUGAUGUGCGGUUUCAGUACUACUAGCUGUGAGGAGGAGGAGGUUAGCCUUGAUGGCCAGGUGGUACCUCGGAAGGACACCUUUCGGUAUUUGGGGUCAAUGUUGCAGGAGGAUGGGGGUAUUGAUGAAGAUGUGAACCAUCGAAUCAAAGCUGGAUGGAUGAAGUGGCGCCAAGCUUCUGGCAUUCUCUGUGACAAGAGAGUGCCACAAAAGCUAAAAGGCAAGUUCUACAGGACGGCGGUUCGACCCGCAAUGUUGUAUGGCGCGGAGUGUUGGCCGACUAAAAGGCGACAUGUUCAACAGUUAGGUGUGGCGGAGAUGCGUAUGUUGAGAUGGAUGUGUGGCCACACGAGGAAGGAUCGAGUCCGGAAUGAUGAUAUACGAGAUAGAGUUGGGGUAGCACCAAUUGAGGAGAAGCUUGUCCAACAUCGUUUGAGAUGGUUUGGGCAUAUUCAGCGCAGGCCUCCAGAAGCUCUAGUGCAUAGCGGACGGCUAAAGCGUGCGGAGAAUGUCAAGAGAGGGCGGGGUCGACCGAUUUUGACAUGGGAGGAGUCCGUUAAGAGAGACCUGAAGGAUUGGAGUAUCGACAAAGAGCUAGCUAUGGACAGGGGUGCGUGGAAGCUUACUAUCCAUGUGCCAGAGCCAUGA